UACGAAGGGGGCUAGCGUUGUUCGGAAUUACUGGGCGUAAAGCGAACGUAGGCGGUGUUCCAUGUCAGAGGUGAAAGCCUGGGGCUCAACUCCAGAGUUGCCUUUGAAACGGGAACGCUUGAGUCCGAGAGAGGAUGGCGGAAUUCCUAGUGUAGAGGUGAAAUUCGUAGAUAUUAGGAAGAACACCAGUGGCGAAGGCGGCCAUCUGGCUCGGUACUGACGCUCAGGUUCGAAAGCGUGGGGAGCAAACAGG
rnacentral:rRNA from 1 species